AUUGAACGUUGGCGGCAGGCUUAACACAUGCAAGUCGAGCGGGGAAAAGUAGCUUGCUACUGGACCUAGCGGCGGACGGGUGAGUAAUGCUUAGGAAUCUGCCUAUUAGUGGGGGACAACAUCUCGAAAGGGAUGCUAAUACCGCAUACGUCCUACGGGAGAAAGCAGGGGACCUUCGGGCCUUGCGCUAAUAGAUGAGCCUAAGUCGGAGUAGCUAGUUGGUGGGGUAAGGGCCUACCAAGGCGACGAUCUGUAGCGGGUCUGAGAGGAUGAUCCGCCACACUGGGACUGAGACACGGCCCAGACUCCUACGGGAGGCAGCAGUGGGGAAUAUUGGACAAUGGGGGGAACCCUGAUCCAGCCAUGCCGCGUGUGUGAAGAAGGCCUUUUGGUUGUAAAGCACUUUAAGCGAGGAGGAGGCUACCGAGAUUAAUACUCUUGGAUAGUGGACGUUACUCGCAGAAUAAGCACCGGCUAACUCUGUGCCAGCCGCCGCAGUAACAC
rnacentral:rRNA from 1 species